rnacentral:lncRNA from 1 species
CCACACCACAGUCUCCUCAUAAAGCUUCAUCUUUUGAUCUAGAUGAGUCCAGGUGAUCCAAAGAAUGGAGUUCGGAUCAGCCAUCUAGAGUUUUUGAUGCGAGCUAGCACUCUUAGAAAGGAAGAUCCGAUCAGGGCUUCAAGUGGAUGAUUUGUAGAAAUCGAACGAUCUGUGUGGCUGCUCGACAUCAAUAAGAGCCUCGUAACAUGUCUAUAAGUAGUGAAGAUCAUCGAUCUAUGAUAAGAUAAUGAGUUUUGAACUCAAUCGAUGUGAUCUAAAAGUUAUAUCUGAUUCAGGGCAUCGAUAUGAUCGAUAUAGUUUUUAUUUUACAUCAAAUUUUAUAUGUAAAAUUUUUAUAUCAUAGAUCCUUUAUGAUAGUUUAGAUCU